UGGGGAAUUUUGGACAAUGGGCGAAAGCCUGAUCCAGCAAUGCCGCGUGUGUGAAGAAGGCCUUCGGGUUGUAAAGCACUUUUGUCCGGAAAGAAAUCCUUGGCUCUAAUACAGUCGGGGGAUGACGGUACCGGAAGAAUAAGCACCGGCUAACUACGUGCCAGCAGCCGCGGUAAUACGUAGGGUGCAAGCGUUAAUCGGAAUUACUGGGCGUAAAGCGUGCGCAGGCGGUUUGCUAAGACCGAUGUGAAAUCCCCGGGCUCAACCUGGGAACUGCAUUGGUGACUGGCAGGCUAGAGUAUGGCAGAGGGGGUAGAAUUCCACGUGUAGCAGUGAAAUGCGUAGAGAUGUGGAGGAAUACCGAUGGCGAAGGCAGCCCCCUGGGCCAAUACUGACGCUCAUGCACGAAAGCGUGGGGAGCAAACAGGAUUAGAUACCCUGGUAGUCCACGCCCUAAACGAUGUCAACUAGUUGUUGGGGACUUCAUUUCCUUAGUAACGUAGCUAACGCGUGAAGUUGACCGCCUGGGGAGUACGGUCGCAAGAUUAAAACUCAAAGGAAUUG
rnacentral:rRNA from 1 species